rnacentral:rRNA from 1 species
CCUACGGGAGGCAGCAGUGGGGAAUUUUCCGCAAUGGGCGAAAGCCUGACGGAGCAAUACCGCGUGAGGGAAGACUGCCUAUGGGUUGUAAACCUCUUUUUUCAGGGAGGAAUAAAAUGACGUGUACCUGAAGAAUAAGCAUCGGCUAACUCCGUGCCAGCAGCCGCGGUAAGACGGAGGAUGCAAGUGUUAUCCGGAAUCACUGGGCGUAAAGCGUCUGUAGGUGGUUUAAUAAGUCAACUGUUAAACCUUGAGGCUCAACUUCAAAAUCGCAGUCGAAACUAUUAGACUAGAGUAUAGUAGAGGUAAAGGGAAUUUCCAGUGGAGCGGUGAAAUGCGUAGAUAUUGGAAAGAACACCGAUGGCGAAAGCACUUUACUGGGCUAUUACUAACACUCAGAGACGAAAGCUAGGGUAGCAAAUGGGAUUAGAUACCCCAGUAGUCCUAGCCGUAAACUAUGGAUACUAGAUGUUGAACAGAUCGACCUGUGCAGUAUCAAAGCUAACGCGUUAAGUAUCCCGCCUGGGAAGUAUGCUCGCAAGAGUGAAACUCAAAGGAAUUGACGG